AUUGAACGCUGGCGGCAUGCCUUACACAUGCAAGUCGAACGGCAGCGCGGGGCAACCUGGCGGCGAGUGGCGAACGGGUGAGUAAAAUAUCGGAACAUACCCUAGAGUGGGGGAUAACGUAGCGAAAGUUACGCUAAUACCGCAUACGCACUAAGGUGGAAAGUGGGGGAUUCGCAAGAACCUCAUGCUCAUGGAGUGGCCGAUAUCUGAUUAGCUAGUUGGUGAGGUAAAGGCUCACCAAGGCAACGAUCAGUAGCUGGUUUGAGAGAACGACCAGCCACACUGGAACUGAGACACGGUCCAGACUCCUACGGGAGGCAGCAGUGGGGAAUUUUGGACAAUGGGGGCAACCCUGAUCCAGCAAUGCCGCGUGAGUGAAGAAGGCCU
rnacentral:rRNA from 1 species